rnacentral:lncRNA from 1 species
CAGAGAUUUUAUGGACCAAGGACUUGAUGUGGCCAGCUAGAGAGGUCUUGCAAGAGUGUUUUCAGAGAUGAUGUGGAUGAUUUACAGACAUUCUGACCAGUAUUUUUUUUAAAAGAAAUGGUGACUGUCAUUUUAAAGGCUGAACACUCACUUGUGCUGCUUUACUGCGUCCAUCUAUGUAGUAUUUGAUUGUCUUCCCUGUUUUCCAGGAAAACCAUUGAAUUGUGGAGCACAGAAAUCGUUCACCUGUGAUAGACGCUGGUUGGUUUAUUUGGGGUCCAACUCCUAAAAUUUUUGAAAAUUCCCAUGGUGGAAUUUUGGGCUGCAGACCCACAUCUUCAUGCACUUACAUUUCCCCCGAAGACUACUCAACGGAGAGUGAAUUUGAGGCCUCAUUUUCCUGCCCCAUUUCUUUUCUGGAUAUUCUAGUUUCUUGCCCUUUCACCUCUACGGUGGGCCCCUCCCAAAGAACUGCGACUCCCAGGAAGCAUUGCAGCCUCAGACAGGUGGCCCAUGAGGACAAAUGCUUGGUGCAUACCUGGAAGGCCAGGAACUCUUCUUGAGGGUGAGCAGAAGCAGCUGGAGACCCUGGAGGACCCAGAAGAUGAUGAGGGAGAAGAAGCUCCUGCUCUCCCCUCAGGCUUAUUGGAGGCUUCUCCAGAUCUUCAGGGGAUGGAUUCUUUUCUACAGCGGAAUCGGGGAGCCUUUCAUCCUUGGAGUCGGGACAAAGCAGAUGAUGUACAGGAGGAGGAAGGAAAACUCCACAGGACAUCCCCAGAAAGAGUGGAGGAUGAAAACGGGAACUGUGGGAUCAGAGAUGAAUCACGAAGGCAGAAGGAAAACGAGGCAAAUGAGAGGAAAAACAAACCUCACCCUUAUCUGAGAGGAGUUGUCUGUCAAGAAGAAGAGGACAAGAUAAUAAACAAGCGCCUCAAUGUCCUUCAGAGCUCAGAGUCUGUGCUAAGGAGUCCUCUGAGGAAAAGCCCAGUGAAAUGUCCAACAUGCCACACAGAGGAAAAUCUUUGUAAAUGUUUGGAGCAUGGAGAGAGUUCCAGAAGGAACCCAGAAGACUCAAGAUUUCCCACAAGAGAGAAAACUUAUGAAGACUCUGGGUCUGAAAAAUGCUUCAGCGUUAGCUCAUCUCUUCAAGUCUCUCAGCCUGUGGACUCAGAAGAAAAAUUGUAUAAAGGUGAAGAAUGUGGCAAGAGCUUCAAGGGAAGUUCUGGACUUAAGCGACGUCAGGGAAUGGAGAGUGAGAAGAGCUGCCACAAAUGUCUUAAAUGUGGAAAGUUCUUCAUGUGGCAUUUAAGUCUUAGAGAACAUCAAAAAAUUCAUAUAGGACAGAAACCGUUUCCCUGUGAA